rnacentral:misc_RNA from 1 species
AAGAGACCGUGACCGUGACCGUGACCGUGACAGAGACCGCUCCUCGCGCCGUGAACGCGACCGUGAACGGGAACGCGAAGAGGAGGCCAAGGCUCGGGAGCGUACUCGAUUGGAGAAAUUAGCUGACAGAGAGCGUGAGAAGGAGCUUGAGUCGAUUAAGGAGCAGUAUCUAGGAUCUAAAAAACCUAAGAAGAGGGUAAUUAAACCUAGCGAGAAGUUUCGAUUUUCUUUUGAUUGGGAGAACACUGAGGAUACGUCUAGAGAUAUGAAUUCCUUGUAUCAAAACCCUCACGAGGCUCAGCUCUUGUUCGGUCGAGGGUUUCGUGCUGGAAUGGAUCGCAGGGAGCAGAAGAAGCUCGCCGCCAAGAAUGAGAAGGAGAUGAUGGAAGAGAUUAGAAGAAAGGAGGGCGUCGAGGAGAAGCCUGAGGAGGCCGCCGCCAGGAAACUUAAAGAAGAAGCUGCUGAUUUAUAUGAUACUUUCGAUAUGAGAGUUGAUAGGCAUUGGUCCGAGAAGAAGCUCGAUGAAAUGACUGAGAGAGAUUGGAGGAUUUUUAGAGAGGAUUUCAACAUUUCCUACAAGGGAUCAAAAAUUCCUCGGCCUAUGAGGAGUUGGGCUGAGAGUAAACUCAGUACAGAGUUGUUGAAAGCAGUUGAGAGGGCUGGUUACAAGAAACCAUCCCCCAUUCAGAUGGCGGCUAUUCCACUGGGACUACAACAGCGCGAUGUGAUUGGAAUUGCGGAGACCGGUUCUGGUAAGACUGCGGCCUUUGUUUUGCCUAUGUUAACUUACAUCUCGAGGUUGCCCCCCAUGAGUGAGGACAACGAGGCAGAGGGGCCUUAUGCUGUUGUAAUGGCACCUACUCGUGAACUGGCACAGCAGAUUGAGGAUGAGACUGUGAAGUUUGCUCAUUACUUGGGUAUCAAAGUGGUUUCCAUUGUUGGUGGACAGUCCAUUGAGGAGCAAGGUUUUAGGAUUAGACAAGGGUGUGAGGUAGUCAUUGCUACUCCAGGUCGUUUGCUUGAUUGCUUGGAGAGGCGAUAUGCUGUCUUGAAUCAGUGUAAUUAUGUUGUUCUUGAUGAAGCUGAUCGCAUGAUAGACAUGGGUUUUGAACCCCAGGUUGUGGGAGUAUUGGAUGCAAUGCCUUCGAGCAAUUUAAAACCAGAGAAUGAAGAUGAAGAGCUUGACGAGAAAAAGAUUUACCGC